ACGCUGGCGGCGUGCUUAACACAUGCAAGUUGAACGGUAUGACAUGGAAGCUUGCUGAAGUGUCAUAUAGUAGCGGACGGGUGAGUAAUGCAUGAGAAGCUGCCAUUGGGAGGGGGACAACAGUUGGAAACGGCUGCUAAUACCCCGUAUGCCGGAAGGUGAAAGGGAGCGAUCCGCCCGAUGAGGUGCUCAUGUCCUAUCAGCUGGUUGUGGGGUAACGGCCUACCAAGGCGACGACGGGUAGCCGGCCUGAGAGGGUGAACGGCCACACUGGAACUGAGAUACGGUCCAGACUCCUACGGGAGGCAGCAGUGGGGAAUAUUGGGCAAAAUGGGGGCAACCCUGACCCAGCGACGCCGCGUGGGGGAAGACGGCCUUCGGGUUGUAAACCUCUUUUGUACGGGAAGAAGGAAGUGACGGUACUGUACGAAUAAGUCCCGGCUAACUACGUGCCAGCAGCCGC
rnacentral:rRNA from 1 species